UGUCAGCUUUGAGUAAAAAACAUAACCCAUGCCAGCAAAAACAUAUCCACCAGUAUUCCCCACUGCCCAUUGAGACACUCUAUGUCCUUACUCCUUAGAGACCAAAGCAUAUAGCACUCUUCUUAAAGACAAGGCGUUUGGAACUGUAGAUAUUGGAUUGGCCCCCACUUUUUACAGCCCAAAACCAUCUUGAAGUCUGGCUUCCAUGUGGUGCUUUCUUAUUUUCCUCUCUUUUCUCAAAUUUUUGUCCAAUUCUUAAGUGCUUUUCAGGUUCCCUUAAUAGGCCACAGUUUCUUUUCUGUCAGGGUUCGCUGUUUUCCACACGCAGAUCAAGCCCAUCUGGAUGACCCUUCUAGGUGCCUAAAUUGAAACAUGGAGGCAGCGUUGCAGAACUGACAAGACAUCUGGCCGUAUCAAAAUGAGCAGAGACCCAUUCACCCUUUUCCAUUGACUUUCCAAAGCAAUGAGGGUAUGGAAGGGACUGCAGAGAUUUUUGAGAGAGAUGUUUUCCAUCUUCCCGUGCUGCCAGUUGAGAGGACAACAUUCGAAAGACAGGUAGGCCUACACCAAAUUUUAAUUAGGUAAACUUAGGUCUGUCAAAACUUCAAUAAACUUUCCGUCUAAAACUGCAAUGCAUUUUUAUUUAGGCUAUUAUAUCAAUGUUGAUGAAUAUAAAACCAUAAACUUACAUUACGGAUGCACGGACAACACUCUAGUCUAGUGUCUAGUCUACCUGAAGUGGGAGGGAUCAGCGUCCCAAAUGUCCAUUUCGGCACGCUGAUUGGUUGAAAGGAACAGCAUUUUUUUACGACGACGAUGAUGAUGAAGAAGAAGGUGGUGGUGGUGAUAUAGAAAGCAACAGUGAUGACGUCUUUUUGUAGGCAUUAACUCUGCCAUGGUUCGUUGAACAAAGCCUAUGGGAAAAUGAAUGGAGUUUUUGUAGGGUUUUUGGAUAAACACCGAAAAUAAGAUCUGUGGUAAACACAGGCUGAGGAGAUAUUAUACAGUUUUGUUCGAUGAGGUCAUCUUAAUCAGCUCACAUCACUUUUUGUGAAUUUUUAAGCAUUUAUGUAACUUCAAAAAACAUAAUGCACAUAAAGGAUUUGUAAUUCAUAAAGUUCAUGAUAACUGACUGAUACCUCAUAAAACAAAACGUAUAAAAUCUCAUAAGCCUGUUUUAACCACAGACCUUAUUUUCGGCAUUUAUUCCAAAACCCUAUUCUUUCCCCAUAAAUUUUGCCCAUAGUAAUGGCUGAACGAACCAGAUGUAAAUCAUUUCUGUUUUUUUAGGACAACAAACUGUCGAGCUCUGUGGGAUUGGAGUUUAAGAAUGUAAUGGUGAUGUCGUGAUGAUGAUUAGGCCUAUGAAUUGCACUAUAAAAAAAAUAUAUUAUUAUUUUGACCCCCUUCAGUUACAUGGUAGGCUAUUCCUCGGAAGUCACUCAUGUCAGGCUUCUCGGAUACACAACUGUGCUGCGCGGCUGUCAGCGUUGCGGUCUCAUUCAACACUGGAGACUUUGGCGCCAUCCCUGCGGACACCACUUCUGCCGUGAGUGCAUGGAUCAGAUCAUAGAUGAUGGUUUCCGCGACAUCGAGGGGCUUGGCUCAAGUCCCUGUCCACAGUGUAAAUCAGUUAUAGCCUAUUAAAUGUGUAACCGUGA